rnacentral:lncRNA from 1 species
AUCAAACUUGGUGCCAAAAAAGCUUUGGUAAUCAACAACUGGGAAACGGCAAAGGAAUGCUUCACAACAAACGACAUCGUCGUUUCCUCUCGCCCCAAGCUUGUUGCCGCAGAACACAUGAGCUACAACAAAGCCAUGUUUGCCUUAGCACCCUGUGGUCCCUAUUGGCAAAAAAUAAGAAAGAUUACAGUCUCAGAGAUUCUCUCCCCUCAGCGAGUGAAGCAACUACGUCAUGUUUUUGAGUCAGAAGUUGAAGAAUCGAUCAAGGAGCUCUCUAACUUUUGGUGCAGCAACAAGAAUGAGAGCGGUUAUGCCUUGGUGGAGUUGAAGCAAUGGUUUUCUCAUCUGAUAUUCAACAUGGUCCUUCAAAUGAUUACAGGGAAGCGAUAUUUUAGUGCAGCAACUGUGGAUGAUGAGAAGGCACAGAGAUUUGUGAGGGCUGUGGAGGAGUUCAUGCGCCUGUUCGGGGUGUUCACAGUGGGAGAUGCUGUUCCAUGGUUGAGAUGGUUUGAUUUUGGAGGGCAUGAGAAGGCAAUGAAAGAAACUGCAAAAGAGUUGGAUAUUAUUCUUGGUGAGGAGUUAGAGGAACACAGAAAAAGGAAGGGUUUGGGUGAGAAGGAUGAUGAAGUUCAAGAUUUCAUGGAUGUGAUGAUUUCAUUGUUUGAUGGAAUAACUAUUGAUGGGUUCGAUGCAGAUACCGUCAUCAAAUCCACUGUACUGGUAUGGAUCUUUAUUGCAUCUUAUUUUUUUUAUUAAAUCACAUUAUAACUUUAAAUUUUAUUGUACAAAAAUUAAGGUAUUAAAACCAAAACCAUUUAUGAAUUUGAGAAAGAUAAACAAAUAAUAUUAAAUAUUAAAUAACCAAAAUGUUGUGAAGAUGUUAUGAAUUAGGGAUUUAGUGUAAUUUUUUCUUGUAUCUCUAUCACUUUCUUCUUAGAUUUCAUACUUUGAAAAAUACUCAAAUUAUCUUUUAAUAUUUUUUAUUAAAUAUUUUUUCUUUAAUUUCGGAAUAUGCACGUUAACUUCCUGAUUUAUAAAAUUUAGAAGUUAAAAUUUGUGUUUGGGAUUUUACAAUAUUUCUGAUUGUACAAUUCAAAAUUUCAGAUUGUAUAAUUCAAAAUACAAUUUUUUAUAUCAAAUUAUAGAAUUUAAAAUGAAUAAUUUUAGAAUUUUUUACGAAUAUAAGACUGCAAGAUAAAUUAUGAGAUGAAGAAAUAAACUUUUAAAUUUUUAAAAAUGAGGAUUAUGGGGAUAGAUCACCUGUCUCACACUUGGCUUAUGCGGGUUAGGCGAAAUGAUUUAAAUUCUAAAUUUGGUAGCAAAAACUUUGUAGCUAAUUAGAUACAAAUUUAGAAAAUAUUUAACAAUAAUAGAAACUAAUUUAGAAACCAAAAAUUUGUUUAGUCUCUAAAAUGGUCUCUAAUUUAGUCAAUAUAGUAAUUAAUUAUUUUUUGUCUAUAAAAUUAGUUUCUAUUUAAUGAUUUUCUUGUACUGAUGAUUUGUUUAUGUUAUAGAAGAACUUGUGAAUAAGAUCAUAUCCUUAUUUUGUAGUUAGUGAUUGCAGGAGGAACUGACACAAGUAGUACUCUUCUUACGUGGGUAAUAUCUUUGAUUUUGAGAAAUCCUUUGGUAUUGGAAAAAGUAAAAGUUGAACUAGACAUUCAUGUUGGAAAAGAGAAAUGUGUAAGUGAGUCUCAUAUAAGCAAGUUAACAUAUCUUCAAGCCAUAGUCAAGGAAACAUUAAGAUUGUAUCCUCCUGGUCCUCUUUUGGCACCUCAUGAAAUUAUAGAGGACUGCAUUUUAAGUGGUUAUAAUAUAAAAAAAGGAACUCGUCUAAUCACAAAUCUUUGGAAGAUUCACACAGACAAGAAUGUUUGGGAAGAUCCAUUGGAGUUCAAACCUGAAAGGUUUCUUACAACUUACAAAGAUCUCGAUGUCAAAGGUCAUCAUUUUGAGCUAAUACCAUUUGGAGGUGGUAGAAGAAUGUGUCCAGGAAUAUCCUUUGGCCUUGAAGUAGUGCAAUUCUCUCUUGCUAGUAUUUUGCACUCUUUUGAAUUUUUAAGUUCAUCACCUGAUCCUAUUGACAUGACCGAAACCUUUGGAUUAACCAACACCAAAGGCACUCCACUUGAGAUUCUUAUUAAACCACGUCUAUCUUUUAGUUGUAACGAAAACAACUAAUCCAUGUGCUAGCUAUGCUGUCACAAUUUGUUUUCAUUUAAAGUACUUUUUUUCUAUAAUAUUGUUCAAAGUCUUUGUUAUCUUUGUAUUUUCAUUCAAAGUGCUUGAUAUAUUUGUACUUUCCUUCAAAGUACUUGAUAUAUUUAUAGUUUAUCUUGGUAAACUUUGAAACUCUUUCAAAUAUAUAUUAUUUUUAGUAGACUUUCUUUAUUGAGUCAGGUUAGAGAGUUGGACCGUAUUUAGAGAUUCAUUGCUUAAUUCUUAAUCGCGGAUUGAAGUGAUUAAUCCUAUUUGAACGUAAUUGUAUUUAUGUUGUCGAUCAGUUCAUUAAUGUGGAUUACGAUCUCGAUCGGUCACUGAUAAGUCUCGAGAGAUUACAUUAGUCGAUACAAUUAAUGAAUUGCUUAAUUGGUUAACCGUGACUGAUGAAGGUGUGCAAUAAUUGGAAACCAGAGGCAAAAUACAGAGUGCACUAAUUAGCUUAGCAAAUAAUAAGAAAGUGAUGCAUAACAGUUUCACAUAGAAAGAGUUUUGCAAAUCCUUCAACGGGUGGGUGCCAUUUUUACAUGCACCACAUCUCUUUUUUCAGGUAAGUCACGUACUACUUUAAUAUUUAUGUACCCUUUGAUUAAAUGCCUCAUUGGUCAAUGAGCUUACGAUUAUAACACAUCAUUUUCUUAUGCUUUCAUAUUAUAUUAAUAUUCAAAUGACCUACACUGCAAAAUGAUGUGUUAGUAUAACGUGUUUUAAUUUUAAUUAUAUCUCUAUACUUUUUUUCUAUUAGUUUUAAAAGUCUUCUCUUGAUUUGUGCGUCUUAUCUUUAGUCGGGGAUUCUUUGCAUUUUUCCAAUUUUCUCAUAUGUACCACGAGGAACAAAGUCUUGUUUUUUGAAUUUUCUUAGCAGUAAUAGAAUGAAAAUUUUGACUUAUAUGUAAAAAUAUUAUUCAGUAUUACUGGAGCAAUUUUGUCCCAUUCACUACUUUAUUGUUGAGUGGUUCAAUAUUUGUGGCUGAAGACAUCAUAUAUAUAAUAUAUGCGAACCUUAUAUUAUUUUAAUUUAUUUCUUUUACAUGAACUUGGACUUUAUUGAUUCUGGUCUAAAUUAUACACCUUAACCUACCCACAUUCACAAUUCACUUAUGAACAUCUUUUUUCUUAAAUAUCAAUUAACCUUGGAAGAUAUAUACAACAAAUAUCAAGCUAUUAAGGUCAAUAUCUUGUGUUCAUAACACAAUAUUUUUUUCUCAACAAAUCCUUAAAAUAUAUCCUUAACUAUUUUUAAUUAAAUAUUUUAAAACAUAUAUUUUUUAAUUGUUUUUUAUCGUUUAAUUUUUUAUUAAUUAAGUGACAUGAUUAUUAUUUUUCUUACCAUCUUGCGGUUAAUAUAAAAUAAAACAAUAUUAUAGUUAAUGUAAAACAAUAAGCUUAACUAACUUUAUUUUUUCAUAAAAGAAUUAUUAGAUAACGAGUUUAUCAUGUUUUUUUAGUUGUAAUUUUCAUGUCAUCAUAUACCAUAAAAAAAAGAUCAUCACCAUUGAUAUAAAUAGCAAUUAUCAAACACUUUUUCAAUGAAAAUAAUAAAAAUCACUUUUCAAUUUACAUUAAUCACAAUUUAGUUUUAUAUUAAACACAAAACAUCACAUUUUUAAUAUGUGGAAACAAGUAGCAGAGUAAUGGAAUAAAAUAAAAGUAAUGUAAACCACACAAAAUUAAACAAAAAAAAAAAUUCAAUUUUUUUUUUAAUACUAUUUAAUAAAAAUAACCUAGACCUUGAACCCUAAAUUCAUAGUAUUUUGAUUUUUAAAAAAAAUAAAUUUUGUCUUAUUUUUAAAAAAAAAUAUACAAUUUGAUCUGUUUUAUUAAAUUAACAUAAAGAGGAGGAAGUGGUGACAUGAUGUGACAAAGUUAUAAACGCACGUAUAAAAAUGUUAUAAAGUAUGAUUUAAAUUAGUAAUUACAAUUCACUGCAUAAUAAUUUAAAUUUUAAUAUUUUGAAACUUAACCUUAUAUAUUUUAAAUAUUUUUUAUGGCAGCAAACUUUGAAAAUAGUUAUUAAUUAUUAUUAUUAGUGGUAGUUAUAUCUUAUAAAAAUUACAACACAAUUUCCAAGUAAAAUCAUACUUAGUCUUUGAAAAGUUUGACUUUUCCUUCUCUCUGAAGGAAUGAAGGAUCUAUUUAACCACUCCUACUUUACCCUACCUGAAACACACAGAGCCUCAACUCGCUCAAAUGGAUUUGGUUGUAAAUUCCUUGAAUGCAACCACCAUUGCACUCGCUUCUCUAAUUCUCUUCUGUUUCUUUCUCUAUGGUCUCUUCAAAUUUUCUCGAGGGAAAGAACCUCCCACAGUUGCAGGUGCAUGGCCAAUACUUGGUCACCUUCCAUUGAUGAGUGGUUCAAAGUCACCCCACAGAACUUUGGGUGCUUUGGCCGACAAAUAUGGACCCAUUUUCACCAUCAAACUUGGUGCGAAAAGGGCUGUGGUAAUCAACAACUGGGAAAUAGCAAAGGAAUGCUUCACCACAAACGACACAGUCGUUUUCGGUCGCCCCAAGCUUGUUUCGGUGGAACUCAUGAGCUACAACCAAGCCAUGUUUGCCUUAGCACCCUAUGGUCCCUAUUGGCGAAAAAUAAGAAAGCUUACAAUUUCAGAGAUUCUCUCCCCUCAGCAAGUGAGGCAGCAACGUCAUCUUUUUGAGUCAGAGGUUCAAGAAUCGAUCAAGGAGCUCUUUGACCUUUGGCGCAGC